UACAGAGGUCCCAAGCGUUGUUCGGAUUCACUGGGCGUAAAGGGUGCGUAGGCGGCGCGGUAAGUCGGGUGUGAAAUCUCGGAGCUUAACUCCGAAACUGCAUUCGAUACUGCCGUGCUUGAGGACUGGAGAGGAGACUGGAAUUUACGGUGUAGCGGUGAAAUGCGUAGAUAUCGUAAGGAAGACCAGUGGCGAAGGCGGGUCUCUGGACAGUUCCUGACACUGAGACACGAAGGCCAGGGGAGCAAACGGG
rnacentral:rRNA from 1 species